rnacentral:lncRNA from 1 species
CACCCGCGCAACGGAGGAGGGGCGCUGUGCCCUCUCCCCAACGGCGGUCAGCUUGGAACGCCUGCCCGGCGCACGCCCGGGGCCGGGGAGCCGAACUCGGUGCCAGCCGCACCCGGGCGGGUUGCUGGUGCGCCCUCCCCUCGCCCCCGUCCCUGGGGUCCUUGACCCAGGCUCUUGGGGCUAGCCUAUCUUCUGAGGAGCACAAGGUCCCUGGGGGCUCAGGGAAGAGAAAUUGGAGAAAGGGGGAGGAAGCCCCCAAGAUGGAUCACCCAUUGCCUGGUUUCGCAGGAGACUGUCCGCCUUCAGUUCUCCAGCAGCUCGGGGAUCAUGGCCCACUGAACCCCCAAGCGCUUUCACCCGAACCCAAGGAGGACGACCAGGAAAGACGGGAACUCGCGUAGACACGCCCGGAAGCCCUUGUCAUAGGGUGAAGGAGGUCAUCAUUACCACCCCUGCUUUCAGCCAUUUCUUCAUUCAUUCAAUCAACAAACUGGCUGAGCUGCAACCCUGAGCCGGGGAAUUCAGCCACUCCAGACACAGCCCCUGCCCUCCGGGAAGUCUCGGGAGACCUGGCUAGUCUGGCUGGGAGAAGUCACACGUUGAUUGUCUUGGAAGUGAGAUGGCAUUUACACAAUGGAGGCUGCACUGCCAGCAGGCAAAAAUAACCAGUUAAUUCAGUGGCUUAAAGAAACCAAACCUACCCACAACGCUUGACCUCCCAUUGAUCCAUCUGCGACACCGGCAGUGGCUACCAUUUAUUGAGUGCUGAUGGUGUCACCUGGGAUUGACUUAGUGGUCUCUGGCGCUAGUUCCGAAGUUGAUUCUGUCUGGAGAGCUUAAUGCAGUGUUCAGACCUCAGGGUCCGAACCUGAGGGUCACCCAAAGAUGAGUGGGACAUAGCUGUGUGACCUCGGCUGAGUGCUUUCACCUCUCCAACCUCAGUUUCCUCUUCUGCAAAAUGGGGUGGCUUCAUGGCACCUUCACGUGGUGUGAUUGCGAGGAAUGAAGGGAUCGAUGCCUUGCAAGUAGAGGAGAAGGGGCCGGAUACAUCUUAGUUGUUAUGUUAUUUAAUCAUCUUGGCAACCCCGGGAGGGAGGAACCACUAUCAUUUUAUUUUCCAUUUUGCAGUUGAGGACAAUGAUGAUUCCAGCACAGACAGGGCCCCUGACGGGGCAGUAGGAAAGGAGAAUUGCUUUGGAAGGAGCAUAGGCUGGACUGCCAGCACUCAUAGGAGGCUUCGUGUGUGCCCAGGACUGCGAGAAUUAAAUACAGGACACCCAGUUCAGUUUGAAUUUCAGAUAAACUAUGAAUAAUGAUUAGUUGUCUGGUCUAGGGACAAAUGCUGAGACGUCUGCAAGGCCAUCUAGAACGCCAGGAAGGCACUGUGGGAACCCAGAGGAACAGGGCACGACGGUGCCCAACAGUCCCAGGAAAACACUCUGUGCCCUUCACCUACAUCUCCAUGCCAGGGUUGGAGACAGGGUCCUGUCCCAUCUGCACAUGGAGCCCUCCGGACGGGUGAAUCUGUCGUCAGUUUGGGGCUUGGGAAUCGGUGUCCAAGAGCUGGCUUCAAAGGCAAUGAAACUGGCAUUGCAUCUUUGAAGGCAGCACAGGCUACAUCUGUCUUAUUCUCCGUGUCCACAGCCCCUAGCAGUGACUGGCAUGUGGUCACGCCCAAUAAAUAUUUGCUGAAUGAAUGAACGCAAAACAAUUUGCAAUGUGGACUAGUCCCUUAAAGUAUGUGUAUCUGCAACCGGUAAGUCUACCACAUAUCUUAAGGAAAUAAUCAGAGAAGUGAACAGUUUUAAGGAGAAGAACGUUGAUCCUAUCUUCAUUCGUAAAAGCAAAAGUGCAAUGAAAUUAAAAACAAAUAGAAGAUGCGUAAAUAAAAGGCAGUGAUCAUAAAACUGUUCAAAACCUUGUUUUCAAAAAUUAUCUGAUGAUAUAAAGUCCCAUAUAAACUAAAUUUAAAAAUAGGCUGCAGAACCGAUCUCAACUUUUUACAAAAAUAUUAUUAGAAAAAGGAUUAAAAUGAUAUUUGCCAAAAUAUUAACAGUGGUCAGCUUUGUGCAAU